GAAGAGCUGUUGCUCAAGGGUUGAGCACCUGCUUUGCAUGCAGAAGGUCCUAGGAUCAAUCUCUGGCAUCUUCA